rnacentral:rRNA from 1 species
GGAUUAGAUACCCUGGUAGUCCACGCCCUAAACGAUGUCCGCUAGCUAUUGGAUUUUAAGGUUCAGUGGCGAAGCUAACGCGUUAAGCGGACCGCCUGGGGAGUACGGUCGCAAGAUUAAAACUCAAAGGAAUUGACGGGGACCCGCACAAGCGGUGGAUGAUGUGGUUUAAUUCGAUGCAACGCGAAAAACCUUACCUGCUCUUGACAUGUCUGGAAGCUUGUAGAGAUACGAGUGUGCCUUCGGGAACCAGGACACAGGUGUUGCAUGGCUGUCGUCAGCUCGUGCC